UAUGUGAUCGUCUCUCGCAUAUCAAUAAGCGGAGGAAAAGAAACUAACAAGGAUUCCCCUAGUAACGGCGAGUGAAGCGGGAAGAGCUCAAAUUUGAAAUCUUAAAGGGUUUCCCUUUACGAAUUGUAGUUUAAAGAAGCGUUUUCUGUUGAGGUUUUGGUAAAAGUUCUUUGGAAUAGGACAUCAUAGAGGGUGAGAAUCCCGUAUUUGACCUUUACUUUCAACUUUGUGAUACACUUUCAAAGAGUCGGAUUGUUUGGGAAUGCAGUCCAAAAUGGGUGGUAAAUUUCAUCUAAAGCUAAAUAUUGGCGAGAGACCGAUAGCGAACAAGUACCGUGAGGGAAAGAUGAAAAGAACUUUGAAAAGAGAGUUAAACAGUACGUGAAAUUGUCAAAAGGGAAGCGUUUGACACCAGUGUUGUUUUUCUGAAAAUCAAUUAAAGAACUGUUUAUGCUAAGUUGUUUAGACUUUAUCAGCUAACUGUUUAGUUUUGAGCUUUUCUUUAAUGCACUUUUCAGUUAACAAGUCAACAUCAAUUUCUUUUGCUGUAAAAAAGCUUGAGGAAGGUGGCUUGAGAUUCGUCUUAAGUGUUUAUAGCCUCUUGCCUAUGCAGUCGGAGAGAUUGAGGUCUGCAGCGUAGAUCCUUCGGGGCUAAAUGCAUUUGUGCUAAGUUAUAACAUUUUAUAGACAACUUGUUGACUAUGAUUUGUCUUGUAGCUUACUCGCUUAUGUUAUUUUACCUACGCUUAGGAUGUUGACACACGCGCGUGCUCG
rnacentral:rRNA from 1 species